rfam:Ruminococcaceae bacterium D16 genomic scaffold acsPy-supercont2.2, whole genome shotgun sequence.
UUGCAGGCCGGAGCGCUACUCCAUUUCAAUAGCCAUCCGGACCAGAAAAAAGGAGGAAAAUAAUUGCCGCCGGCCGGCGGUGCGGCAGUGUGGAGACCUGCCGUAAUCCUGUCAGGGUUUCGCUCUCUGGCAGGGAGGUACGCGAGCAGAGGCGAGCGUACUACGGCCUGAGCCCAUGUCU